ensembl:snRNA Gm26091 predicted gene, 26091
AAAAAAUAGAGUGAUACAGAGAAGAUUAGCAGAGUCACUGCACGAGGAUGACACGAAAAUCUGUGAAGUGUUCUAUGUUUUU